UGGGAGCUUGCUCCCUGAGGUUAGCGGCGGACGGGUGAGUAACACGUGGGUAACCUGCCUGUAAGACUGGGAUAACUUCGGGAAACCGGAGCUAAUACCGGAUAAUUUCUUUUCUCGCAUGAGAAGAGAUGGAAAGAUGGUUCUGCUAUCACUUACAGAUGGACCCGCGGCGCAUUAGCUAGUUGGUGAGGUAUCGGCUCACCAAGGCGAGGAAGCGUAGCCGACCUGAGAGGGUGAUCGGCCACACUGGGACUUAGUCUCGGCCCANAGACUACGGGAGGCAGCAGUCGAUCUGUAGGUAACUCGAGCCUCCGGA
rnacentral:sRNA from 1 species